GUAGAUUUAGGUUAAUUUAAACUUUUAAUUUUCAAAAUUAAAGAUUUUUUCUAUU
rnacentral:tRNA from 1 species